GACGAACGCUGGCGGCGUGCUUAACACAUGCAAGUCGAACGGAAAGGCCCUGCUUUUGUGGGGUGCUCGAGUGGCGAACGGGUGAGUAACACGUGAGUAACCUGCCCUUGACUUUGGGAUAACUUCAGGAAACUGGGGCUAAUACCGGAUAGGAUCUCCUGCUGCAUGGUGGGGGUUGGAAAGUUUCGGCGGUUGGGGAUGGACUCGCGGCUUAUCAGCUUGUUGGUGGGGUAGUGGCUUACCAAGGCUUUGACGGGUAGCCGGCCUGAGAGGGUGACCGGGCACAAUGGGACUGCGAUACGGACCAGACUCGUACGGGAGGCAGCAGUGGGGAAUAUUGCACAAUGGGCGGAAGCCUGAUGCAGCAACGCCGCGUGCGGGAUGACGGCCUUCGGGUUGUAAACCGCUUUCGCCUGUGACGAAGCGUGAGUGACGGUAAUGGAUAAAGAAGCACCGGCUAACUACGUG
rnacentral:rRNA from 1 species